rnacentral:rRNA from 1 species
UUAGCGGCGGACGGGUGAGUAACGCGUGGAAAACCUGCCGUAUACUGGGGGAUAACACUUAGAAAUAGGUGCUAAUACCGCAUAAGCGCACAGCUUCGCAUGAAGCGGUGUGAAAAACUCUGGUGGUAUACGAUGGUUCCGCGUCUGAUUAGCUAGUUGGUGGGGUAAUGGCCUACCAAGGCAACGAUCAGUAGCCGGCCUGAGAGGGUGAACGGCCACAUUGGGACUGAGACACGGCCCAAACUCCUACGGAAGGCAGCAG